rnacentral:rRNA from 1 species
CUCGUGUCGUGAGAUGUUGGGUUAAGUCCCGUAACGAGCGCAACCCUUGUCCUUAGUUGCCAGCACUUCGGGUGGGAACUCUAGGGAGACUGCCGGUGACAAACCGGAGGAAGGUGGGGACGACGUCAGGUCAUCAUGGCCCUUACGACCUGGGCUACACACGUGCUACAAUGGCUGGUACAGAGGGUUGCUAAGUCGCGAGGCGGAGCUAAUCCCUUAAAGCCAGUCGUAGUCCGGAUCGGAGUCUGCAACUCGACUCCGUGAAGUCGGAAUCGCUAGUAAUCGCGGAUCAGAAUGCCGCGGUGAAUACGUUCCCGGGUCUUGUACACACCGAA